UACGUAGGGGGCUAGCGUUGUCCGGAAUCAUUGGGCGUAAAGCGCGUGUAGGCGGCUCGAUAAGUCUGCUGUGAAAGUCCAGGGCUCAACCCUGGGAUGCCGGUGGAUACUGUCGAGCUCGAGUCCGGAAGAGGCGAGUGGAAUUCCUGGUGUAGCGGUGAAAUGCGCAGAUAUCAGGAGGAACACCAAUUGCGAAGGCAGCUCGCUGGGACGUUACUGACGCUGAGACGCGAAAGCGUGGGGAGCAAACAGG
rnacentral:rRNA from 1 species